rnacentral:misc_RNA from 1 species
AGGGCUAUACGGACUCGAACCGUAGACCUUCUCGGUAAAACAGAUCAAACUGAUUUUUAUCAAAAUGAUUCGAACUUUUUCAAAGACCCAACAUGCUUUUUUUGUUUUGCAUUGGGCUCGUUCAUUAACUGAUAUAAAUAAUCCGUUAGUCUACCAUAAUUCUCUUGGCAGAAAGAUAAGAAGAUGGCUCCGUGUGCUCUGAUUUAUGUAUUCCGAUCCAAGAGCACUACCAAAGUGUUUCAAAGAAGAGAAGGGUUAUCCUGACGUAGGUCUGCUUUUGGCUUAGAUCAACCUAAGUUAAAUGGAAUCUCCAUCGCCCCACUUCUGCUUAAAGAAUCCAAUAUGAAACUUCAUACACCUUAAAGUUCAUAGGAUAGGACGAAAAGAGAAUUUUUGAGGUUCUUAUACUCAUUAUGCCUAGCAUUGAAUAGACUGGGUAUUCACCUUAUCAAGGUCUUAAAUCAAUAAUCAAUGAUGGGUUCUAUUGGGCGUCUAAAAAGGCACCUAAAUUGGACCGAACCUUUUGUGUCAGGCUAUUGUUCUCUUGUUCCCUAAAAGUCAUGGAGUAAGACAUCGACUUCUCAAUAAGUCUUUUGAUUACAUGAUGGACCCCUUUGAAAAAAAAAAAAAAAAAACAUUGGCGCGCGUGUAAACGAGGUGCUCUACCUAACUGAGCUAUAGCCCUUGUGUUUGUGAUACAUAUUUUAUCAUGUCGAUAAUUUCUUGUCAAGAUGAAUAUUAUAUGAUCCAACAUCC